UACGGAAGGGGCAAGCGUUGUUCGGAAUCAUUGGGCGUAAAGGGCGCGUAGGUGGUUCUGUAUGUCUACCGUGAAAGCAUACAGCUCAACUGUAUUUUGUCGGUAGAAACUGCAGGACUUGAGGCUGGGAGGGGCUGGUGGAAUUCUCCGUGUAGCGGUGAAAUGCGUAGAGAUGGGGGAGAACACUCGUGGCGAAGGCGGCCAGCUAGACCAGUUCUGACACUGAGGCGCGACAGCGUGGGGAGCAAACAGG
rnacentral:rRNA from 1 species